rnacentral:rRNA from 1 species
CGGACGGGUGAGUAAUGCUUGGGAAUCUAGCUUAUGAGGGGGAGUAACUACGGGAAACUGUAGCUAAUACCGCGUAAUAUCGAAAGAUUAAAGUGUGGGACCUUCGGGCCACAUGCCAUAGGAUGAGCCCAAGUGGGAUUAGGUAGUUGGUGAGGUAAAGGCUCACCAAGCCGACGAUCUCUAGCUGGUCUGAGAGGAUGACCAGCCACACUGGGACUGAGACACGGCCCAG